AACAUCCUAGAUGGAUAAUAUAAUAGCAUGGAACAAUAAAAAAUUAUAGAUACGUUGGAUACGUAUCAUGGCGAUGGACGAACUUCAUCUUCUUCUCCCUGUAUAUCUCAAAAAAAAAACUCCUUCUCCCAUUCUAAAAAAGAACCUCAUCUCCUUCCGUACUCAUAAAAUAAUUCUUCUUCUCUCAUGGCCGCGCGCCGCCGCCGCCCUGUGCCUAGCAGCGUCGCUAUUCCCUUCCCCGCGCCCCUGACUCGCUCUGUUUUGCCCGGUUCAGAUCCAUAGAUGGAAGGUUUGGCUUUGGUGAAAGCUGCGCUGCGCGCGUAGCGUCUCGGGCCCCCUCGUCCUGGUGUUGCUCGUCUUGGCUUAAGGUCGCGGGGAUGGAGCACGGCGAGCCGCCCGUCUUCUCGCACCACACCCAGGACGAUGUCGCCGUGGAUGGCUAGGCGCGCGACUGCGCCGGGCCCUCCCAUUGCUAUGGCGCACUGGUGGAGUGCCCUGAGGCCGCAGAUGCUGCUACUAUACCGCACGACUAGCCCAAGGUUUGGAGAGCGUGUGGUUCGCUCUGCUGAUCCGGCCGUGCUUUCGUGCGUGUGAGCAGGGAGAGAGCGAGCUUGCUGAUUUCGUAACUGCAGCACCAACGUGAAAGCCUGCCAAUCAACCCUUGUGAUUUGUCUUCUACAAAUAGGAAAUUUGCAGUUUGUUACAUAAUCAUCAAAGUUACAUGAUGUGCAGAUUGGAAAUUUGAUUACUAGGGAGACUACUACAUGCGAGUUAUGGUUUCAUGAUACGCGAAGCACACACCAAAUGUUUGAUGAAUUGCUUGAAGACAAUGUAUGGAGCAUUUUGUUGCGUGCUUCAAGCCUUCAAUCGGAAUAAUUUGAUGAACCACCAUGUCGCCCUUUCACUUGGUUCCACGGGAAAGUAAAUUACAUUACUCCAGCGGGUCAAUACAGCCUAUAGGUUAUGUAGACUCUAUCACUUCAUCACAUUUUUAUUUAUUCACAUUCGUUCUACCAUUGCUUAACUUUGUUUGAAAAACUGUUGUUGCUAUGUAUGCAGGAUACAUUUCUAGAGCUAGAAUUUCAGGGCAUCAAGAAGUAAUUUACUAUGCUUCAAUUAAGUAAGUUAGUUUGUAUAACUUUUUAGGACUAAAUUACUAGCUUAAUGUUUGGAACUUAUUCAGCUGCACAUAAGGCAUGUGCGUACAUGAAUACCUGCUGCAUCAAAGCUCGGUGUGGAUACACCUCUUCUUGCAGGAUAGUUUUGUCUACAAAUUAUCUCAGCUUCAGUUUCCACAAUAAAACUUGUGUUUUUAUUUAUCAUAGUUUCUGCUCUUACAUAACCAAACAUUAGCAGAUGUUGAAUUUUCAUUUCCUGUCGACACCAUUAAAUUGCAAUCUUAUCUAUUUUGAAAUGGUUCUAGCAUGUUUGAUGCAUCACUCCCCUCAAUUGUUGGAGGAACAUGAUGCUAUUCCUGGUGCUUUUGGUUGUGGAAAAAAUGUCAUUAGUGAGGCACUUCAGGGGUGAUCACCUUAGUGAAGAUAGACAAGAGUAUUUUCUUGGUACCAUCUCUAUACUAUCUUCUGAGUUUGAAAAUAUCUCUGCAAUAAUCCAAUUCUAAAGCUCUGCACGUUUAUAUGAGAUGUGGUGAAAGAGAGAUGGCUGAGGUUUUCAUGGAUUUCCCCGAAUUGACAAUGGCAAUUCUUGAAAGGACGUGAACAGUGGAGCCACUUAAAGUCCAUGGCGAGCUCAUCAUUGUCGGCUUUCUUCCAGAUCGGGAGCCACCGAUCAUGACCCACAUUGGGGAGAUGUUCCAAGGGAGGAGGAGCUCCUUAUUUGUUGGGACGUGGAGGAGUUUGCGCUUUUCAGGCUCGUCCUGCCGACACAUGAGUAGGACUAGCGAAGCACGAAUUCCCCGGUGCAACGCACGAGCAUUUUUGCUAGUAUUGACUACGUUGACAAAGCCCUCCAUCCGCGUCAACUUAGUAGGUCCACAAGUUAGCCUCCCACUAUGGUGGGUCCCAGCUAGCAGGGGGAGUAUUCAUUUUUUGGUGCGUAAUAAGGAGGCACUUCCUUGUGUGUGAAGAUAUAACUAGUGGAUCCGGGCUGUCAGCGGGGGCAGGGCGGAUCCAGCGUGGGGUCGUGUAGGGGCGGCCGCCCUGGGUAAAGUUUGGGAACCUAGGGUACCCCUACUGCUUUUGGCCGAUGGACACCAUGGAAGGCGAGUAGAUACAGUCGAAGGUUUCAGAUGAGCGCGAGCUUGACGAGGGAAGAGGAAAGGAACGAUUUGCCACGAGAGAUAGCCAAACAGACCUGGUAACGAUUCGCUGGAAGAUUUACAUAGGGGCCAGUCAAGUAAGCCCAGUAAAGAAUUAGAUGAGCCCAUUAGUUUCUGUACGCAGCCUCCUAUCCGAUCGACCGUGGAACUGAUCAUCAUGCCUCACGCCCCUUCCGCCUCGGGUCCUUGACGCCCUCCAUUGCCGCCUCGCCAUGGUGCUGCGCAGGUCCGUCCAACCGAUGAUGCUGGAUGAGGAAGGAAAAGCGAGUCCGCCUGUUCUCGAUGCCUGGCCACACCCCCCGAUCAAAUCAGCGAGCGAGCAGCUAACCGAGAGACAAUGAGCAGGUUCUUGGCUAUCCCCUACUCUUCUCCUCUAUUUUUCUAUCUUUUUGUUCUAUUGUAACGUUGGUCUAAUUCUUAGAAGUUAGAAUUUAUAUAAUAUUUUGCGUUAUAUAUUUUCACGUCAUUCUCAAGAGUGUAACUACUUCAAACAAUGCAUUGUGUUGAUCGUCUUGUCUAAUACGUAUUAUUGGCCGAUGAAUU